rnacentral:rRNA from 1 species
UACGUAGGGUGCAAGCGUUGUCCGGAAUUAUUGGGCGUAAAGAGCUCGUAGGCGGUUUGUCGCGUCUGGUGUGAAAAUCCAGGGCUUAACCCUGGACCUGCAUCGGGUACGGGCAGACUAGAGUGCGGUAGGGGGAGAUCGGAAUUCCUGGUGUAGCGGUGAAAUGCGCAGAUAUCAGGAGGAACACCGGUGGCGAAGGCGGAUCUCUGGGCCGUAACUGACGCUGAGGAGCGAAAGCAUGGGGGAGCGAACAGG